rnacentral:sRNA from 1 species
UUAAAAAUGUACCUAAGACAGUAGGGAACGAAAGUUUUAAUAAUCCUACCGAGGACAAUAAUAAAAAGAGUAUUAUUUCUAUGCCUUUUUGUAUGUUCUCACAUGCGGAAAGGUUUUUUUAUUG